rnacentral:ncRNA from 18 species
UUUAAUUUAGAAGCGCCUGGACUUAAAGCCUUAAGGCUUUAAGUUGACGAGGGCAGGGUUUAUCGAGACAUCGGCGGGUGCCCUGCGGUCUUCCUGCGACCGUUAGAGGACUGGUAAAACCACAGGCGACUGUGGCAUAGAGCAGUCCGGGCAGGAAA